AGUGUUACAGAGUUAUUUAGUGACUCCACUUGCCAGGGUUUAAUCAUCCAAUACCAAGAGGUUUUAUGGACAUCCUGAAUUGGGAUUGGUGAGUGGGCAUCUCCUCAGUAUGCCCUUUUACGUGACUUAGCAGUGCCAGUGCCGUGUUAGGUUGGAUUGCACCCGGUCACAAGUACAUUUUGAUUGUUCCUUUAAAUAUUUCAUUUACAUGUCAUGUUGAUAUGAUGAUGUAUAAAUACUUACGUAUAUUGUAGUGCCGGCUAUGUAUACAGCUUGAAAUGCUUAUCUCAUGCAAUGUAUCCAAAGUGCCUAGAAUGACUGGGUGUGUACGCUGUGUCCUAUGUGGCUGAUCAGGACACAAUUCUUUGUUCACCAGAAUAAAUCAAAACAGAUUGAGAAGCAA